rnacentral:rRNA from 1 species
GACGAACGCUGGCGGCGUGCUUAACACAUGCCAGUCGAACGGAACGGCCCUGCUGUUUUGGGGUGCGCCAGUUGCUAUUGGGUCUGAAAGGCGUGCGGAACAGUCACUCGACGUUGGGAUGACUUCUGGAAGCGGGGACUAAUAGCAAACAGGAGCUCCUACUGCAUGGUGGGGCGGGGUAGGUUGCGGCGGUGGGGAAUGGACUCGCGGCUUAUGAGCUUGCUGGGGGGGUAGGGGCUUACCAAGGCUUUGACGGGUAGCCGGGCUGAGAGGGUUACCGGCCAGAUUGGGACUGAGAUACGGCCCAGACUCCUACGGGAGGCAGCAGUGGGGAAUAUUGUACAAUGGGAGGAAGCCUGAUGCAGCAACGCCGCGUGGGGGAUGACGGCCUUCGGGUUGUAAACCGCUUUCGCCUGUGACGAAGCGUGAGUGACGGUAAUGGGUAAAGAAGCACCGGCUAACUACGUG